ACAGGCGGCUUCCAGUCUAAAAGAGAAGAAGCAGGCAGGGGUGGGGGGGACAAGGCUGCAGCCCUCCCCGUCACCACCAUUUGUGUACAGCCCUUCUCCCCACCAGGGCUCUUAGCCCAGGGAACAAGGCAGGAGGACUCCAUUUCCCAGAAUGCCUGGGUUUUGUCGACCGUGUUGGCACCGCCCCCUCGGGCAGCCCCAAAACAUGCUGGCAAUCUCUCAGCUCCCCGAAGGUGCCCAGUUGCGGUUCUCUAUUUCUGAGUGAGAGGAGGAGGGGCCGGAGCCCGGGCCCCAGUGCGCACAAGCAGGAAGGCCCCCCACCUCGGGGCUCCACCCCCUGAAGGACCCCCGUGUGGCCCCAGCAGAGAGCCCGCAGCCAGAGGGAAUGGCCCCCGGGACCCCGAGGCCCCCCUCCCAGGGGUCAAUAACACUCAAGGAUGUGGCUGUGGACUUCAC